GGAUAGUUGUGGUGCUUAAUCCAUUUUUGCAAGUUGCAAAGGGAAAUAAAUAGAGAUGAACACAUGCAUGUGACGUGGCAUCUCCAAACUCACUUUUUAUUUACCCAACCCCAACCCCAACCCCUCAAACACAACGCAAGACAACACAACAGAAAUUUCUCGCUCUCAUUCUCUCUCUCGAUUCUACUCUUCUCUCCUUUCUUCCGUCAACGGCGUUUCUCACUGUGGCCACCGAUAAUGUUGCAGAUACGGUUGAAAAAGCUUAGAGAUGAUGAGAGGGAUGCGGGGAAAACUUUCAGGGAUUUUUGUAAAAAUAAUAAAUUUGUAUUGGAAAAAUAUGUUGUGUAAGACUUAUAAGUUUAAUUUCGAAUUUAUGUUAAGUGGUGAAGACUAUAUUAUUUAAAGUUUGUAAGUUUGGAAUUGUACUUUGGAAGAAUUGAAAUAAAGUUUGAUUGUUUAUAUUAGAUAUCAAA